rnacentral:tRNA from 1 species
GCGCCAGGAGCGACAGGAGUGGUGCGUGCGGCUUCCAGCGCCGCGAUGGCCUCAGCGACCGGCGUUACGGCGCCGCUCACGCUCC